rnacentral:rRNA from 1 species
ACGAACGCUGGCGGCAUGCCUAACACCUGCCAGUCGAACGAGACCUUCGGGUCUAGUGGCGCACGGGUGCGUAACGCGUGGGAACCUGCCCUUAGGUUCGGAAUAACUCCCCGAAAGGGGUGCUAAUACCGGAUAAUGUCUUCGGACCAAAGAUUUAUCGCCUUUGGAUGGGCCCGCGUUGGAUUAGCUAGUUGGUAGGGUAAAAGCCUACCAAGGCGACGAUCCAUAGCUGGUCUGAGAGGAUGAUCAGCCACACUGGGACUGAGACACGGCCCAGACUCCUACGGGAGGCAGCAGUGGGGAAUAUUGGACAAUGGGCGAAAGCCUAAUCCAGCAAUGCCGCGUGAGUGAUGAAGGCCUUAGGGUUGUAAAGCUCUUUUACCCGGGAUGAUAAUGACAGUACCGGGAGAAUAAGCUCCGGCUAACUCCGUG